CCAUCUGUAAAGUUUACUCCUCUUUUAUAUUUUUUAUAUAAAGAAUUUCUUUUGUCUCUUUCAUUUUUUAAAGAAUUUUCUAUUUCUGAAAUUUUUUGUAAUCUAUAGUUUUGUCCAUCUUCUAUAGGUAAUUCUGGAUAUAAAUCAGGAGCUGUAGGUUGUUUCAUUUUUAAAAGUAAAAAUUGAUUUUUUUUUUUCUCUUAAAUCCCACAGAAUUCUUUCUCUGCCUGUUAUCCCGGUUUUUUUUUUGGGAGUAAGAAAAUUUGGUGUUUUUUGGGGUGUUUUUUUGCUUUUUUUUUUAUGAAAAUUUAGGGCUCUUUUACUUGAAAUGAGGGUAAUUUUUUGGGGGUCAAAUUUUUUUUUUUUUGGAGGGGGGCGCUGGAGUCGUUCAAGUACUAUACUACUCCCCUUAGGGGAAAAAAUGAGUUUUAUAAAAAACCCCAGGAUUAAGGUUUUGGUGUGCUCUUUACAAAAAAUUUUUU
rnacentral:lncRNA from 1 species